rnacentral:sRNA from 1 species
CCAGACAUGAGAUCAAUGAUGCGAGGUAGAAGGCUGAUCAGACUCUUCACGGCCCAAGAGGAAGCCGGCCCAUAAUGAUGAUCGGACCAGAAUGUUGAUCGAACCGAGAAGCGGUUGACGGCUGAAGAGAAGAGAGGUUAGAAUCAGUUGAAGAUUGAUUCGAGAAGCUUCCAAAGUUGUAACUGAUUCUUCCCCCUUUCCCCCUCUCUUUCUUUCUUUUUCUGCCUUUGAACUUUCCCUAUAUAAAGGGAAGUCUUGUAAAGUGAAUAAUACGAGUGGUGGGUGACAGACACCAUUCUUAGGUUUAGAUAGUGCACGGUAGUGGGUGACAGACGCUACCUAGCUUAGGGUUUUCAUUUUCGUCCAGUUUCAUUCUCGUAGUGUAGAUUCUGAUACUCCUGGACUGUUGAUCGAGCAAUCACGGUGGUGACAGCUUGUGAUAUUCUUGGCUUUGCUUCCACGGUGUUUUCUACUUUGUAAUAUGUCGUCUCAGUUUCAGACCAGUAGGCUAUAUACACUCUUCUUCCAAACGUUUCAAAAGCAAAUUUGCGAUUUUGAGAAUACAGUGCAGUAUGAGGAAGUUCUCAAGUGCUAGUUCUUGCUCAUUGUCAAGUCUUGUGAAUAGGAGAAGUUCGUGCUGUGUGCGUUAAAGUUCGGAGCGGU